GACGAACGCUGGCGGCGUGCUUAACACAUGCAAGUCGAACGGAAAGGCCCUGCUUUUGUGGGGUGCUCGAGUGGCGAACGGGUGAGUAACACGUGAGUAACCUGCCCUUGACUUUGGGAUAACUUCAGGAAACUGGGGCUAAUACCGGAUAGGAGCUCCUGCUGCAUGGUGGGGGUUGGAAAGUUUCGGCGGUUGGGGAUGGACUCGCGGCUUAUCAGCUUGUUGGUGGGGUAGUGGCUUACCAAGGCUUUGACGGGUAGCCGGCCUGAGAGGGUGACCGGCCACAUUGGGACUGAGAUACGGCCCAGACUCCUACGGGAGGCAGCAGUGGGGAAUAUUGCACAAUGGGCGGAAGCCUGAUGCAGCAACGCCGCGUGCGGGAUGACGGCCUUCGGGUUGUAAACCGCUUUCGCCUGUGACGAAGCGUGAGUGACGGUAAUGGGUAAAGAAGCACCGGCUAACUACGUGCCAGCAGCCGCGGUGAUACGUAGGGUGCGAGCGUUGUCCGGAUUUAUUGGGCGUAAAGGGCUCGUAGGUGGUUGAUCGCGUCGGAAGUGUAAUCUUGGGGCUUAACCCUGAGCGUGCUUUCGAUACGGGUUGACUUGAGGAAGGUAGGGGAGAAUGGAAUUCCUGGUGGAGCGGUGGAAUGCGCAGAUAUCAGGAGGAACACCAGUGGCGAAGGCGGUUCUCUGGGCCUUUCCUGACGCUGAGGAGCGAAAGCGUGGGGAGCGAACAGGCUUAGAUACCCUGGUAGUCCACGCUGUAAACGGUGGGUACUAGGUGUGGGGUCCAUUCCACGGGUUCCGUGCCGUAGCUAACGCUUUAAGUACCCCGCCUGGGGAGUACGGCCGCAAGGCUAAAACUCAAAGGAAUUGACGGGGCCCCGCACAAGCGGCGGAGCAUGCGGAUUAAUUCGAUGCAACGCGUAGAACCUUACCUGGGUUUGACAUGAAUCGGGAGUGCUCAGAGAUGGGUGUGCCUCUUUUGGGGUCGGUUCACAGGUGGUGCAUGGCUGUCGUCAGCUCGUGUCGUGAGAUGUUGGGUUAAGUCCCGCAACGAGCGCAACCCUUGUUCACUGUUGCCAGCACGUUAUGGUGGGGACUCAGUGGAGACCGCCGGGGUCAACUCGGAGGAAGGUGGGGAUGACGUCAAGUCAUCAUGCCCCUUAUGUCCAGGGCUUCACGCAUGCUACAAUGGCUGGUACAGAGAGUGGCGAGCCUGUGAGGGUGAGCGAAUCUCGGAAAGCCGGUCUCAGUCCGGAUUGGGGUCUGCAACUCGACCUCAUGAAGUCGGAGUCGCUAGUAAUCGCAGAUCAGCAACGCUGCGGUGAAUACGUUCCCGGG
rnacentral:rRNA from 1 species